rnacentral:rRNA from 1 species
CCCUUAGAUGUUCUGGGCCGCACGCGCGCUACACUGACGAAGUCAGCGAGCAUGUCCUACGCCGACAGGUGCGGGGAAUCUUGUCAAACUUCGUCGUGAUGGGGAUUGAUUAUUGAAAUUCUUGAUCAUCAACGAGGAAUUCCUAGUAAGCGCAAGUCAGCAGCUUGCGUUGAUUACGUCCCUGCCCUUUGUACACACCGCCCGUCGCUACUACCGAUUGAGUGGUCCGGUGAGGCUUUGGGAUCUGAGCAAAAAGAGCGUUUCGCUCGUUUGGCUCGGAAAACUCAGUCGAACCUUAUCAUUUAGAGGAAGGAGAAGUCGUAACA